AGUGUCGUAGCAAAGUGGUUAACUGCGUCAGACUUAAGCCAUCUGAUCCUUCGGGUUCGUGGGUUCGAAUCCCACCGACACUA
rnacentral:tRNA from 1 species